rnacentral:rRNA from 1 species
UAGGGAAUCUUCCGCAAUGGACGAAAGUCUGACGGAGCAACGCCGCGUUAGUGAAGAAGGAUUUCGGUUCGUAAAACUCUGUUGUUAGGGAAGAAAAGAUGUAUAGUAACUAUAUACAAAAGAGACGGUACCUAACCAGAAAGCCACGGCUAACUACGUGCCAGCAGCCGCGGUAAUACGUAGGUGGCAAGCGUUGUCCGGAAUUAUUGGGCGUAAAGCGCGCGCAGGUGGUUUAGAAAGUCUGAUGUGAAAGCCCACGGCUCAACCGUGGAGGGUCAUUGGAAACUAAUAAACUUGAGUGCAGGAGAGAAAAGUGGAAUUCCUAGUGGAGCGGUGAAAUGCGUAGAGAUUAGGAGGAACACCGGUGGCGAAAGCGGCUUUUUGGCCUGCAACUGACACUGAGGCGCGAAAGCGUGGGGAGCAAACAGG